AUGAACGCUAGCGACAGGCUUAACACAUGCAAGUCGAGGGGCAGCGGGGGUAGCAAUACCCGCCGGCGACCGGCGCACGGGUGAGUAACGCGUAUGCAACUUACCUAUCAGAGGGGGAUAACCCGGCGAAAGUCGGACUAAUACCGCAUGAAGCAGGGGCCCCGCAUGGGGAUAUUUGCUAAAGAUUCAUCGCUGAUAGAUAGGCAUGCGUUCCAUUAGGCAGUUGGCGGGGUAACGGCCCACCAAACCGACGAUGGAUAGGGGUUCUGAGAGGAAGGUCCCCCACAUUGGUACUGAGACACGGACCAAACUCCUACGGGAGGCAGCAGUGAGGAAUAUUGGUCAAUGGCCGAGAGGCUGAACCAGCCAAGUCGCGUGAGGGAUGAAGGUUCUAUGGAUCGUAAACCUCUUUUAUAAGGGAAUAAAGUGCGGGACGUGUCCCGUUUUGUAUGUACCUUAUGAAUAAGGAUCGGCUAACUCCGUGCCAGCAGCCGCGGUAAUACGGAGGAUCCGAGCGUUAUCCGGAUUUAUUGGGUUUAAAGGGUGCGUAGGCGGCCUUUUAAGUCAGCGGUGAAAGUCUGUGGCUCAACCAUAGAAUUGCCGUUGAAACUGGGGGGCUUGAGUAUGUUUGAGGCAGGCGGAAUGCGUGGUGUAGCGGUGAAAUGCAUAGAUAUCACGCAGAACCCCGAUUGCGAAGGCAGCCUGCCAAGCCAUUACUGACGCUGAUGCACGAAAGCGUGGGGAUCAAACAGGAUUAGAUACCCUGGUAGUCCACGCAGUAAACGAUGAUCACUAGCUGUUUGCGAUACACUGUAAGCGGCACAGCGAAAGCGUUAAGUGAUCCACCUGGGGAGUACGCCGGCAACGGUGAAACUCAAAGGAAUUGACGGGGGCCCGCACAAGCGGAGGAACAUGUGGUUUAAUUCGAUGAUACGCGAGGAACCUUACCCGGGUUUGAACGCAUUCGGACCGAGGUGGAAACACCUUUUCUAGCAAUAGCCGUUUGCGAGGUGCUGCAUGGUUGUCGUCAGCUCGUGCCGUGAGGUGUCGGCUUAAGUGCCAUAACGAGCGCAACCCUUGCCACUAGUUACUAACAGGUAAAGCUGAGGACUCUGGUGGGACUGCCAGCGUAAGCUGCGAGGAAGGCGGGGAUGACGUCAAAUCAGCACGGCCCUUACAUCCGGGGCGACACACGUGUUACAAUGGCGUGGACAAAGGGAGGCCACCUGGCGACAGGGAGCGAAUCCCCAAACCACGUCUCAGUUCGGAUCGGAGUCUGCAACCCGACUCCGUGAAGCUGGAUUCGCUAGUAAUCGCGCAUCAGCCAUGGCGCGGUGAAUACGUUCCCGGGCCUUGUACACACCGCCCGUCAAGCCAUGGGAGCCGGGGGUACCUGAAGUCCGUAACCGAAAGGAUCGGCCUAGGGUAAAACUGGUGACUGGGGCU
rnacentral:rRNA from 1 species